CGUAGGUGGCAAGCGUUGUCCGGAAUUAUUGGGCGUAAAGGGCGCGUAGGCGGCAUGACAAGUCACUUGUGAAAUCUCUGAGCUUAACUCAGAACGGCCAAGUGAUACUGUCGCGCUAGAGUGCAGAAAGGGCAAUCGGAAUUCUUGGUGUAGCGGUGAAAUGCGUAGAUAUCAAGAGGAACACCUGAGGCGAAGGCGGGUUGCUAGGCUGACACUGACGCUGAGGCGCGAAAGCCAGGGGAGCAAACGGGAUUAGAUACCCCGGUAGUCCUGGCCCUAAACGAUGAAUACUUGGUGUCUGGAGUUAUUAAUGCUCUGGGUGCCGUCGCUAACGUUUUAAGUAUUCCGCCUGGGGAUACGCUCGCAAGAGUG
rnacentral:rRNA from 1 species